UGGCAUCUCACAACAGUGAGCAAGCGCAGCUGGUCUUCUAGUGUGCUCCUGGAUCCAGCGGAGAGCUAAAACAGUAGGAAAGAAGUUUCUUCAGGACUCAGCUGUGCACAUGGGGGCCUUUGUGGAGCUACAUCACUGCAGCCAUGUGCCUUCAUAUCUCCACAGCCAGUCAGCUAGCUCUCCUGGUGCAACAAGGGAGGGCCAUGGCCUCGGGGUUGCAUGGAGGAAGCAGCCCCUGCACUUCUUCCAAGCACAAAGACAAUAGUUGGGUUCUACAUGGGCUGCACAAGAGAAGAGGGCUCUCCACAGAUUCUCUACAUGGAGGCUACUGGACCCCCAUGACUGCACUUUCCUCAUGGAGAUACUAUGAAGAAAGAGAGGAGAACAAAAGCCAGAUCCUUAUUUAAAAAAAAAAAGAUGGUGAGGCAAGUCGAAGCUGAAAGAGAGCCUGCCUACAUGAGAUUGAAGUGUCUGCCCCCGGUAAAUAAUUACACUGAAAGAACUCUCCAUCUUGG